rnacentral:rRNA from 1 species
GACGAACGCUGGCGGCGUGCUUAACACAUGCAAGUCGAACGGAAAGGCCCUGCUUUUGUGGGGUGCUCGAGUGGCGAACGGGUGAGUAACACGUGAGUAACCUGCCCUUUACUUUGGGAUAACUUCAGGAAACUGGGGCUAAUACCGGAUAGGAGCUCCUGCUGCAUGGUGGGGGUUGGAACGUUUCGGCGGUUGGGGAUGGACUCGCGGCUUAUCAGCUUGUUGGUGGGGUAGUGGCUUACCAAGGCUUUGACGGGUAGCCGGCCUGAGAGGGUGACCGGCCACAUUGGGACUGAGAUACGGCCCAGACUCCUACGGGAGGCAGCAGUGGGGAAUAUUGCACAAUGGGCGGAAGCCUGAUGCAGAAACGCCGCGUGCGGGAUGACGGCCUUCGGGUGGUAAACCGCUUUCGCCUGUGACGAAGCGUGAGUGACGGUAAUGGGUAAAGAAGCACCGGCUAACUACGUG